CUACUAUUGAUAACUAAUAAUAUUGUAUUACUAACUAAAAUAUUAUUGUAUGUAUAACAAUAUGAUAUCUGUACUGAGAUUUAUUUUUUUGUUUCUAUCAAUUAUUUUACUAACAAGCUAUUUUGUGACACCAACGAUGUCUGCUCUGUGUAAAUGUUACAGGAAAAUAAUACCUCAUAUGUGUUGGAAAACAUGUGGGAAGAAAGGAUAAACUUUUUACACUUCCAUCUCCAUCGGGCGAUAUAAAUUAAUAUUAUUUAAUCAUAUGAAUAUAAUCAAUUUCGUUUUAUUAUUUUGAUCUGCUUUAUUUUUAUUUAUUUCAAUCUUUUAUUGUAUUAUUGGAAUAAGAAGUUUGCAUCAAAUUUAUAAUCUCAGUUUAUAAUUGUAACAGUGGAUUAUUAUAAGUUACAAUAUGACUUAAUAAAUUUCUGCAUUGUAAA